rnacentral:rRNA from 1 species
GCGGAUGGGUGAGUAACACGUGGGCAAUCUGCCCUAAAGACUGGGAUACCACUUGGAAACAGGUGCUAAUACCGGAUAACAACAUGAAUCGCAUGAUUCAAGUUUGAAAGGCGGCGCAAGCUGUCACUUUAGGAUGAGCCCGCGGCGCAUUAGCUAGUUGGUGGGGUAAAGGCCUACCAAGGCAAUGAUGCGUAGCCGAGUUGAGAGACUGAUCGGCCACAUUGGGACUGAGACACGGCCCAAACUCCUACGGGAGGCAGCAGUAGGGAAUCUUCCACAAUGGACGCAAGUCUGAUGGAGCAACGCCGCGUGAGUGAAGAAGGUCUUCGGAUCGUAAAGCUCUGUUGUUGGUGAAGAAGGAUAGAGGCAGUAACUGGUCUUUAUUUGACGGUAAUCAACCAGAAAGUCACGGCUAACUACGUGCCAGCAGCCGCGGUAAUACGUAGGUGGCAAGCGUUGUCCGGAUUUAUUGGGCGUAAAGCGAGCGCAGGCGGAAUGAUAAGUCUGAUGUGAAAGCCCACGGCUCAACCGUGGAACUGCAUCGGAAACUGUCAUUCUUGAGUGCAGAAGAGGAGAGUGGAACUCCAUGUGUAGCGGUGGAAUGCGUAGAUAUAUGGAAGAACACCAGUGGCGAAGGCGGCUCUCUGGUCUGCAACUGACGCUGAGGCUCGAAAGCAUGGGUAGCGAACAGGAUUAGAUACCCUGGUAGUCCAUGCCGUAAACGAUG